ACGUUAAUAGCGUGCUUGUUUGACGUUAGCUGCAGAAGAAGCACCGGCUAACUCCGUGCCAGCAGCCGCGGUAAUACGGGAGGGUGCGAGCGUUAAUCGGAAUUACUGGGCGUAAAAGCGCAUGCAGGUGGUUUGUUAAGUCAGAUGUGAAAGCCCGGGGCGUCAACCUAAACGGAAUUGCAUUUGAAAACUGGCAGACUAGAGUACUGUAGAGGGGGUAGAAUUUCUAGGUGUAGCGGUGAAAUGCGUAGAGAUCUGAAGGAAUACCGGUGGCGAAGGCGGCCCCCGUCGGACAGAUACUGACACUCAGAUGCGAAAAGCGUGGGGGAGCAAACAGGAUUAGAUACCCUGGUAG
rnacentral:rRNA from 1 species